AGAGGAGGGCAGGGUCUGCUCUCUGACCACUGCUGUGUAAUACAGGGAGAGAGGCUAAACGGUGCUCUCAUGCAUGGGUGGGCACCAUGUGAGGGUGGACGCCAUCAUGGGUGGGUGCGGUCCAAAGGGGGCAUGCGCUAUGUUUUAGGCGGAGGAGGAAAUUUAAACAUUGUUCUUUCUCCAUCUUUUCUGCACGCUCUAUCUUUUAAUUUUUUGAAAACUAAAGACAGACAAGAGGAUUCAGAGGACUUGGAAAUGGCUGCCUGGCCGUAGGGGAUCGGCCCUCACCUGUGACAUCCCACUCCUUCAACUGUGCCUUGGCUCCCGUGAAAGCUUGCUCGUGGCAUCUUCCUUCCAUCGCAUGCAGUGGGAGUUAGUAAGGACUCUCCCCUCUGUGCUGCUGGAGGUACGUGAGGUCUGGGCAGAGGCAGGUAUGGAAAUCCACAAACAAUGGAUGCAACUGCAAGUGAGAACAGGCCAUUCGGACUGAAGGUGACCUUGGAGAAGGUUCUGCGAAGCCUGGCUCAUUUCCAGCCGACUGAGGAAAAGCAGGAGACUGUAUCGGUCAACAGCGGAAGUCCUCAGCUCAGCUAGAGACAGUGUUCCAGCUGCAGUCUGUUACCAGUGUUCUUCAGUCCCUCCUUUUCUCUGUGCCAGCACAGACAGACGGAGCUAAGUGACAAGGGUCUGCGCCACCCCAGGUCACAGUCACUUGUGCUCUCACCGCCCGUGUAGAUGGGGAUGCGAGGCAAGAGAGCUCCUGCAGAGGGGGCAUAGCCUUUGGUUCGAGUGGAGAGCUGUUCUUUGAAAUCUUUUCAUGCCAAAGAGAAGGGAUACAACAGAGUGCCGGCCACCAUGUCCACGCUCUCAGAAAGAGGAAUGUUCUGGAAGCAAAGCAUGGCCUGAGUGGCUCUCGAGAUGUGAGCUCAGCUAAACUAAGACUUACUUCAUCCUUCAGACCUGCAGCCUCGGAGCUUCAGAGUGAGGCCUUGAAUGGCCCCACCAAUGGGAUAAAGAAAUAAUUGCUGGUGAUUUCAGUUGCCCUGUAGGUGAGGGAUCAAUAUAUCAGAGAGGACUGCUUACCAAACUUUGUACAGGAGUCUGGAAAUUUUGACUGUGUCUCCGAAGUGUGUAACAGUUAAUAGAUAGCAGAAUGUGAGCCUCUGUGUGGAUGGGUUUCUAUGCCCUUGGGAAUCCUGCGAGAUAAAUCUGUUUUCUCUUUUUAUUAUAAGACUUUUGUCACCAGCUGCACUUGAGUUUUCAUACAGAGAAACCCCCAAAUCACACCGCAUGAAGUGUCACAAAUCACACACGCGAUCUGUAGCCAUGCGUGACAAAGGGACCUCGGUUCAGCACUGAAGUUCUGCAGAAAGGCAUUUCACCUUAUCUCCUCAGAUCUUAUAUUUUUUUUCCUCAAGCCCUCAUUUCCAUUAUAUUCAUUUUCGGAGUGGCACAUGGAGGUAACAUUUUUCCAUAGCCAAUUAUCUUGGGCCGAUCUCCGGCUCUUUCCUUACUCCUUCACAAAAUGCAGGCAGUAGCUGAUGCUAUGUUUCACUCAAAUUAUCCGUUGCUGUAACGCAGGAUUUAAAGCAUGUGCCUGGUUUUUAUUGACUAGGCUUAUUUCUUGUCAUUGUCUGUUCCCUUACCAUGACCUGAUCGACUAUUCUAAUAAAGAGGUUCUAGCAUUCUCUUUUCAAUA
rnacentral:lncRNA from 1 species